GGAAUCUUGCACAAUGGGGGAAACCCUGAUGCAGCGACGCCGCGUGGAGGAUGACGGAUCUAGGUCUGUAAACUCCUUUUAUCGAGAAAGACUUAGGACGGUACUCGAUGAAUAAGCACCGGCUAACUACGUGCCAGCAGCCGCGGUAAGACGUAGGGUGCAAGCGUUGUCCGGAUUUACUGGGCGUAAAGAGCGCGUAGGCGGUUUGUUAAGUGAGAAGUGAAAUCUCCAGGGCUCAACCCGGAAAUUGCUUUUCAUACUGGCAGACUUGAGGAAUGCAGAGGUAAGUAGAAUUCCUGGUGUACCGGUGAAAUGGGUUGAUAUCAGGAGGAAUACCCGUGGCGAAGGCGGCUUACUGGGCAUUAUCUGACGCUGAGGCGCGAAAGCGUGGGUAGCAAACAGGA
rnacentral:misc_RNA from 1 species